CGUAAGUGGCAAGCGUUGUCCGGAAUUAUUGGGCGUAAAGCGCGCGCAGGUGGUUUCUUAAGUCUGAUGUGAAAGCCCACGGCUCAACCGUGGAGGGUCAUUGGAAACUGGGGAACUUGAGUGCAGAAGAGGAAAGUGGAAUUCCAAGUGUAGCGGUGAAAUGCGUAGAGAUUUGGAGGAACACCAGUGGCGAAGGCGACUUUCUGGUCUGUAACUGACACUGAGGCGCGAAAGCGUGGGGAGCGAACAGGAUUAGAUACCCUGGUAGUCCACGCCGUAAACGAUGAGUGCUAAGUGUUAGAGGGUUUCCGCCCUUUAGUGCUGCAGCUAACGCAUUAAGCACUCCGCCUGGGGAGUACGGUCGCAAGACUG
rnacentral:rRNA from 1 species